rnacentral:rRNA from 1 species
GACGAACGCUAGCGGCGUGCCUAAUACAUGCAAGUAGAACGCUGAAGGAGGAGCUUGCUUCUCUGGAUGAGUUGCGAACGGGUGAGUAACGCGUAGGUAACCUGCCUGGUAGCGGGGGAUAACUAUUGGAAACGAUAGCUAAUACCGCAUAAGAGUAGAUGUUGCAUGACAUUUGCUUAAAAGGUGCAAUUGCAUCACUACCAGAUGGACCUGCGUUGUAUUAGCUAGUUGGUGAGGUAACGGCUCACCAAGGCAACGAUACAUAGCCGACCUGAGAGGGUGAUCGGCCACACUGGGACUGAGACACGGCCCAGACUCCUACGGGAGGCAGCAGUAGGGAAGCUUCGGCAAUGGACGGAAGUCUGACCGAGCAACGCCGCGUGAGUGAAGAAGGUUUUCGGAUCGUAAAGCUCUGUUGUAAGAGAAGAACGAGUGUGAGAGUGGAAAGUUCACACUGUGACGGUAUCUUACCAGAAAGGGACGGCUAACUACGUG